UACGUAGGUGACCAGCGUUGUCCGGAUUUACUGGGCGUAAAGAGCGCGCAGGCGGUCGUUCAAGUCGAGUGUGAAAGCCCCCGGCUCAACUGGGGAGGGUCACUCGAUACUGAUCGACUUGAAGGCAGGAGAGGGAAGCGGAAUUCCCGGUGUAGUGGUGAAAUGCGUAGAUAUCGAGAGGAACACCGGCGGCGAAAGCGGCUACCUGGACGAGGACUGACGCUGAGAUGCGAAAGCGUGGGGAGCAAACAGG
rnacentral:rRNA from 1 species